UCGGACGGCUCGAGCGCGCCCGCCGUCGGGCGUCCGCGUUGCCUGCCGGAGCAGUUCCGCUGGUUUGGCCCACGCCCCACCAAACGUCCCGCUCCGAGCGGAUCUAACCCACCUGUCGCCAAACUGAAACGAUGGACGCCGGUUUCGAGUGCAAGGUCGAGGGAGGGGUUGGAAUCGUGAGCGGGACGAUGAUGACACCAACGUAUCGGUUCAGAUCUAGGUUAUUUUCGCAGUGAAUCGAAGUCCGACCCUGAGAAGAGAUGUGGAGAUCUCCACGAUGAACAUGUAAGAUCACAUCCAGACAUAUAUUCGGCAUUUUUUUUUUUAUAUUUGAAUGAAUUUAGGUUCAAACGAUUCGAUUUGACAUUCAAUUUUUUUGCGAGAGCAAAUGUACGAAGAAUUUGGAUCAUGAUUUCUAUAGGACUGAAUCAUUCACCAUGUUAUUUUAAGGGUGAUGAUGCCUUACCCAUGCGACAAAAGAGACGUUGAUUAUACGAUGAAUGGUAAAGUGUCAAUUAUAAUGAUAAUGAGAUGUCAAUCACACAGUAAUUUCAAUAGUCUCCACAGUGUC
rnacentral:lncRNA from 1 species